GAGGACAGCGGUUCUAUUACGCAGCUCCAGCGCUCACUUGAGUGUCUGCUGCGCGCGGGCACAGGCCUCGACGCUUGGUGGAAGGAGGUCGACCG
rnacentral:sRNA from 1 species